GGUUAAGCGACUAAGCGUACACGGUGGAUGCCCUGGCAGUCAGAGGCGAUGAAGGACGUGCUAAUCUGCGAUAAGCGUCGGUAAGGUGAUAUGAACCGUUAUAACCGGCGAUUUCCGAAUGGGGAAACCCAGUGUGUUUCGACACACUAUCAUUAACUGAAUCCAUAGGUUAAUGAGGCGAACCGGGGGAACUGAAACAUCUAAGUACCCCGAGGAAAAGAAAUCAACCGAGAUUCCCCCAGUAGCGGCGAGCGAACGGGGAGCAGCCCAGAGCCUGAAUCAGUGUGUGUGUUAGUGGAAGCGUCUGGAAAGGCGCGCGAUACAGGGUGACAGCCCCGUACACAAAAAUGCACAUGCUGUGAGCUCGAUGAGUAGGGCGGGACACGUGGUAUCCUGUCUGAAUAUGGGGGGACCAUCCUCCAAGGCUAAAUACUCCUGACUGACCGAUAGUGAACCAGUACCGUGAGGGAAAGGCGAAAAGAACCCCGGCGAGGGGAGUGAAAAAGAACCUGAAACCGUGUACGUACAAGCAGUGGGAGCACGCUUAGGCGUGUGACUGCGUACCUUUUGUAUAAUGGGUCAGCGACUUAUAUUCUGUAGCAAGGUUAACCGAAUAGGGGAGCCGAAGGGAAACCGAGUCUUAACUGGGCGUUAAGUUGCAGGGUAUAGACCCGAAACCCGGUGAUCUAGCCAUGGGCAGGUUGAAGGUUGGGUAACACUAACUGGAGGACCGAACCGACUAAUGUUGAAAAAUUAGCGGAUGACUUGUGGCUGGGGGUGAAAGGCCAAUCAAACCGGGAGAUAGCUGGUUCUCCCCGAAAGCUAUUUAGGUAGCGCCUCGUGAACUCAUCUCCGGGGGUAGAGCACUGUUUCGGCAAGGGGGUCAUCCCGACUUACCAACCCGAUGCAAACUGCGAAUACCGGAGAAUGUUAUCACGGGAGACACACGGCGGGUGCUAACGUCCGUCGUGAAGAGGGAAACAACCCAGACCGCCAGCUAAGGUCCCAAAGUCAUGGUUAAGUGGGAAACGAUGUGGGAAGGCCCAGACAGCCAGGAUGUUGGCUUAGAAGCAGCCAUCAUUUAAAGAAAGCGUAAUAGCUCACUGGUCGAGUCGGCCUGCGCGGAAGAUGUAACGGGGCUAAACCAUGCACCGAAGCUGCGGCAGCGACACUAUGUGUUGUUGGGUAGGGGAGCGUUCUGUAAGCCUGCGAAGGUGUACUGUGAGGUAUGCUGGAGGUAUCAGAAGUGCGAAUGCUGACAUAAGUAACGAUAAAGCGGGUGAAAAGCCCGCUCGCCGGAAGACCAAGGGUUCCUGUCCAACGUUAAUCGGGGCAGGGUGAGUCGACCCCUAAGGCGAGGCCGAAAGGCGUAGUCGAUGGGAAACAGGUUAAUAUUCCUGUACUUGGUGUUACUGCGAAGGGGGGACGGAGAAGGCUAUGUUGGCCGGGCGACGGUUGUCCCGGUUUAAGCGUGUAGGCUGGUUUUCCAGGCAAAUCCGGAAAAUCAAGGCUGAGGCGUGAUGACGAGGCACUACGGUGCUGAAGCAACAAAUGCCCUGCUUCCAGGAAAAGCCUCUAAGCAUCAGGUAACAUCAAAUCGUACCCCAAACCGACACAGGUGGUCAGGUAGAGAAUACCAAGGCGCUUGAGAGAACUCGGGUGAAGGAACUAGGCAAAAUGGUGCCGUAACUUCGGGAGAAGGCACGCUGAUAUGUAGGUGAAGCGACUUGCUCGUGGAGCUGAAAUCAGUCGAAGAUACCAGCUGGCUGCAACUGUUUAUUAAAAACACAGCACUGUGCAAACACGAAAGUGGACGUAUACGGUGUGACGCCUGCCCGGUGCCGGAAGGUUAAUUGAUGGGGUCAGCGCAAGCGAAGCUCUUGAUCGAAGCCCCGGUAAACGGCGGCCGUAACUAUAACGGUCCUAAGGUAGCGAAAUUCCUUGUCGGGUAAGUUCCGACCUGCACGAAUGGCGUAAUGAUGGCCAGGCUGUCUCCACCCGAGACUCAGUGAAAUUGAACUCGCUGUGAAGAUGCAGUGUACCCGCGGCAAGACGGAAAGACCCCGUGAACCUUUACUAUAGCUUGACACUGAACAUUGAGCCUUGAUGUGUAGGAUAGGUGGGAGGCUUGGAAGUGUGGACGCCAGUCUGCAUGGAGCCGACCUUGAAAUACCACCCUUUAAUGUUUGAUGUUCUAACGUUGACCCGUAAUCCGGGUUGCGGACAGUGUCUGGUGGGUAGUUUGACUGGGGCGGUCUCCUCCUAAAGAGUAACGGAGGAGCACGAAGGUUGGCUAAUCCUGGUCGGACAUCAGGAGGUUAGUGCAAUGGCAUAAGCCAGCUUGACUGCGAGCGUGACGGCGCGAGCAGGUGCGAAAGCAGGUCAUAGUGAUCCGGUGGUUCUGAAUGGAAGGGCCAUCGCUCAACGGAUAAAAGGUACUCCGGGGAUAACAGGCUGAUACCGCCCAAGAGUUCAUAUCGACGGCGGUGUUUGGCACCUCGAUGUCGGCUCAUCACAUCCUGGGGCUGAAGUAGGUCCCAAGGGUAUGGCUGUUCGCCAUUUAAAGUGGUACGCGAGCUGGGUUUAGAACGUCGUGAGACAGUUCGGUCCCUAUCUGCCGUGGGCGCUGGAGAACUGAGGGGGGCUGCUCCUAGUACGAGAGGACCGGAGUGGACGCAUCACUGGUGUUCGGGUUGUCAUGCCAAUGGCACUGCCCGGUAGCUAAAUGCGGAAGAGAUAAGUGCUGAAAGCAUCUAAGCACGAAACUUGCCCCGAGAUGAGUUCUCCCUGACCCUUUAAGGGUCCUGAAGGAACGUUGAAGACGACGACGUUGAUAGGCCGGGUGUGUAAGCGCAGCGAUGCGUUGAGCUAACCGGUACUAAUGAACCGUGAGGCUUAACCUU
rnacentral:rRNA from 1 species